rnacentral:tRNA from 1 species
UGCGUAGCUCAGUUGGCUAGAGCAACUGACUCUUAAUCAGUGGGUCCAGGGUUCAAAUCCCUGC